rnacentral:lncRNA from 1 species
AUGAUGACUUUUACCUCAAGUCCUCUUUCAGUUCUCUCUUCUGGCCUGGAAACCCAAACUAAGACCUCUGCCCUCCUGUCACAAAAUUUCAAUCUGCAACAAAGGUCAUUGAGGCAGAGCUCUGAGGAUGAUCAAUCAGUUUAUUAGAAAAAAAUGGUAGUCUCUAAGCAGUUGGAUCCAAGACCUUCCUCAUGGUCAAAAACCUGGAUGCUCUGGGACUGGAGAUUUUAUAGACUUUGGGGAUUCCCUGGAAGGCCUUCUAUUUCUUGGUAAGUAUGGGAAUAUCUAUGAUUGAGUAACCUUCAGAAGUGCUGUAGUUCUUACGAUUGGCUAAAGGUAGUGUCCAUCAGCCACAACUUCUCUAUCAUUAGGUCUUUCACAAA